rnacentral:hammerhead_ribozyme from 15 species
AACUGGUUGGGAGCUGAUGCCGCUCUCCUGAUGAGGCCAUGAUAGGCUAAAACCAAUU